AAGGAAAGAGGGAGGGAGGAGGAACACAGGCAAGUCGAACGAACCUUUCGGGGUGAGUGGCAGACGGGUGAGUAACGCGUGGGAAUCUACCCUUCUCUAUGGGAUAGCUCCGGGAAACUGGAAUUAAUACCGUAUACGUCCUGAGGGAGAAAGAUUUAUCGGGGAAGGAUGAGCCCGCGUUGGAUUAGCUAGUUGGUGGGGUAAAGGCCUACCAAGGCGACGAUCCAUAGCUGGUCUAAGAGGAUGAUCAGCCACAUUGGGACUGAGACACGGCCCAAACUCCUACGGGAGGCAGCAGUGGGGAAUAUUGGACAAUGGGCGCAAGCCUGAUCCAGCCAUGCCGCGUGAGUGAUGAAGGCCCUAGGGUUGUAAAGCUCUUUCAGUGGGGACGAUAAUGACGGUACCCACAGAAGAAGCCCCGGCUAACUUCGUU
rnacentral:rRNA from 1 species